GCAAGUAGAACGCUGAAGGAGGAGCUUGCUUCUCCGGAUGAGUUGCGAACGGGUGAGUAACGCGUAGGUAACCUGCCUGGUAGCGGGGGAUAACUAUUGGAAACGAUAGCUAAUACCGCAUAAGAGUAGAUGUUGCAUGACAUUUGCUUAAAAGGUGCAAUUGCAUCACUACCAGAUGGACCUGCGUUGUAUUAGCUAGUUGGUGGGGUAACGGCUCACCAAGGCGACGAUACAUAGCCGACCUGAGAGGGUGAUCGGCCACACUGGGACUGAGACACGGCCCAGACUCCUACGGGAGGCAGCAGUAGGGAAUCUUCGGCAAUGGACGGAAGUCUGACCGAGCAACGCCGCGUGAGUGAAGAAGGUUUUCGGAUCGUAAAGCUCUGUUGUAAGAGAAGAACGAGUGUGAGAGUGGAAAGUUCACACUGUGACGGUAUCUUACCAGAAAGGGACGGCUAACUACGUGCCAGCAGCCGCGGUAAUACGUAGGUCCCGAGCGUUGUCCGGAUUUAUUGGGCGUAAAGCGAGCGCAGGCGGUUAGAUAAGUCUGAAGUUAAAGGCUGUGGCUUAACCAUAGUACGCUUUGGAAACUGUUUAACUUGAGUGCAAGAGGGGAGAGUGGAAUUCCAUGUGUAGCGGUGAAAUGCGUAGAUAUAUGGAGGAACACC
rnacentral:rRNA from 1 species